UACGGAGGGGGCUAGCGUUGUUCGGAAUUACUGGGCGUGAAGCGCACGUAGGCGGCUUUGUAAGUUAGAGGUGAAAGCCCGGAGCUCAACUCCGGAACUGCCUUUAAGACUGCAUCGCUUGAACGUCGGAGAGGUAAGUGGAAUUCCGAGUGUAGAGGUGAAAUUCGUAGAUAUUCGGAAGAACACCAGUGGCGAAGGCGACUUACUGGACGACUGUUGACGCUGAGGUGCGAAAGCGUGGGGAGCAAACAGG
rnacentral:rRNA from 1 species